rnacentral:rRNA from 1 species
AAGAUUUUAAUUGAAUGCUAAAAGAAUGGAAAUUUAAAAAAAAACUUUUUUAAAAAUAAAAAUUGAAUUUUUUUUAAUUUGUGCAAAAACAAUUAUUAUUAUUAAAGACAAGAAGACCCUAAGAAUUUAUGAUUUUGCAAUUAGAAUUUUUUUCAAAAAAUCUUGAUUGGGGCGAUCAAAAAAUAUUAAUAACUUUUUAAAUUUAAAUUGAUCUAUUAUUAAUAAACUAAUGAAUUAAAUACUCUAGGGAUAACAGCGUAAUAAUUUUUGAUAGAUCUUAUUGACAAAAUAGUUUGCGACCUCGAUGUUGGAUUAUGAUCCUUUUUUAAUGAAAAAAUUAAAAAAAGAAGUUUGUUCAACUUUUAAAUUCCUACUU